UACGUAGGGGGCCAGCGUUGUCCGGAAUCAUUGGGCGUAAAGAGCGUGUAGGCGGCCAGGUAGGUCUGCUGUGAAAACUCGAGGCUUAACCUCGAGCUGUCGGCGGAAACCAUCUGGCUAGAGUCCGGAAGAGGAGAAUGGAAUUCCCGGUGUAGCGGUGAAAUGCGCAGAUAUCGGGAAGAACACCCGUGGCGAAGGCGGUUCUCUGGGACGGUACUGACGCUGAGACGCGAAAGCGUGGGGAGCGAACAGG
rnacentral:rRNA from 1 species